UUUUAGCCCUGAUGGUAGUGAAAAUCCUCCCGAUUUUUUUCGGGAGAUUGCAACAUACAGCAGGAAUAGCU
rnacentral:sRNA from 1 species